rnacentral:rRNA from 1 species
UACAGAGGUGGCAAGCGUUGUUCGGAAUUACUGGGCGUAAAGGGCGCGUAGGCGGCCAUCUAAGUCAGACGUGAAAUCCCCCGGCUUAACCUGGGAACUGCGUCUGAUACUGGACGGCUUGAGUAUGGGAGAGGGAUGUAGAAUUCCAGGUGUAGCGGUGAAAUGCGUAGAUAUCUGGAGGAAUACCGGUGGCGAAGGCGACAUCCUGGACCAUUACUGACGCUGAUGCGCGAAAGCUAGGGGAGCAAACAGG